GUGCUCUGGUGUACAGAGGCUGAGGACAGAGCAAGGACAAAUCUCCUGCUUUUAAUUUUGCUGAGGGUGUAAAAUGAGUCGAGGCUUUCUGCAGUCACUAUUCUAUUCAUAUCUUUUGUGUCCGAUUCUAUUUUUGUUGGCUGUGCCCCUGGAGGUGGAGGUGUGGAAGUGCGUUUCUGCUGGUCUUUGCAAGCGGUGUAGAUGUUUCCUCUGUUCCAGGCACCACCUCAGACGCUGCGGCCUUACAGGAGGAGUAGGCGGAUGUCAGCGUGGCCAUUUCUCACCUGUCUGUAACUUUUUAAUACUUCCUUUUACUUGGGUUUGCAUUUCUUCCAUGGAACGAACAUCUCUGGGUAGCCACUGGGAGGUGUAAACGGCUUGGGAUGGAAACCACAGCUUGUAGGUGCGCCCUCUGCCAGGCUUUUCUGGCACCCGAGGAAGCCCAGUCUCUGUCUGCUCCCAAGCGAAAGGGAUAUUACCAGCUGCUCGGUGAGAAAACAAAUUCACAGAGAUACAGGAAAGUGUGUUAAGUUGGUGGGAAGCAACGGGCAUGAGAUUCCUGGCAGCUCGGGUGACUGGCAUUAUUUUGGAACCCAAUUCUCAAACAUCUGGGAUUAGCUCUCCUGGAAAUGUGAGGAUGUGGGCCCUCUAGUGCCACUUGGAAAAUGUCAGUAUUCCAGCCCACAGUCUGCAAGGGAGGUGUUAUUUGGCAAGUCUCCUGCAUGUGGCCGGUCCAACUGGAUAAUAGGUCCAGCAGUAACUCCUACCAAUAGGAACUCUUCCCCUUCAGUGGUUGCUUGAUGUCCUGUGUGAAAUGAGAGUUCAGCCAAUGGUAUAGGCAAUUCUUAGUGGACAAGUAUCUAUGCAUGUAAUUCUGCAGUAACUGGUGUCUCCAUGUCUGCCAUUCUCCCUUGCCAGCCCAGCAGAGAUAACUGAAGUUACCUGGAAAUAAAUUUCUCCAUCAAGUGUCCUAGCUGAGGCUUUGCUGCAAUAACAGCACAUGCACAACUUGUGCUGCUUAGUUUAUCUUUGGAUGGACAAUUGCUAUCUCCAGGCCUACAGAGUAAGCAUUGUUAGAUAUAUUAAAAUAAUUUUUAAAAAGUCUUCUGACUCCAAAGUUCACAGCCUUUCAGUUUAUGUAUAUCCAGCUGGGAAAUCAUGCCCACUAAUUUUUACUGAAGUUUGCAGUUGAUUGACCCACCAGUACAAUGCCAGGAUGCUGGGUAGACUUGUGCAGCUCCUCCGAAGUUCAAGUGCGUUCAAGACGCAUGGCUCAAGGAUGACCAGUGUGUUACCUCUAAUAUCAUUGAUGGAUAAAACCCCUACAGAUUCAAGUUGUAGUGGAUAUGACAGUGUCUGUUGCAAGUGGAGCUGUUUCAAAAUGCAAACCAGAAUUUCUAAGUGUCACUGAAAUGCUGAAGAUCCAUUGAGGAGCAGGUGUGGGGUGGUGGAUGGUAAAGGCUUUUUUAGUGAAACUGUUCAAAAGAGCAAGUCUGCUGAUGAAGGGGGGGGUCCUAUGGUCACCUCCAACAUUAUAAGCAGAAUGAAAAGCAGCAGCAGCAGCAAAAUCCAGUAAUGCACCAAAAGAUAAGUGUCCAGCCUAAAUCAGGACAACAAAAAUAUCUGUGCUGGUGAAUUAAUAUGCCAGUCUACACCAUAUUUCCUGAAGCAGUUGAACCCUUAGCCAUGAAACUCAUCCCAGGAAGAAGAGCUGUUGUAAUGACAGUGCUAUAGAGGGGGUUAGAUCUGCCUCCUAGAUGAGCUGUUUACUGUUAUGACAAGCUUGCAUUUGUGAAAUGCAUACUUUUCACAGAAUCACAGAAUCAUUAAGGUUGGAAAAGAUCUUCAAGAUUAUUGAGUCCGACCUUUGAGCAAACACCACCAUGUCAACUAAAUCACAGCAUUAAGUGCCAGAUCCAGUCAUUUAUUGAAUGCUACCAGGGAUGCUGACUGCAGCACCUCCCUGAGCAGCCUGUUCCAAUGCUUUACAACCCUUUCAGUGAAGAAAUUCUUCCUGAUGUUCAGCCUGAAACUCCCCUUGAGCUUGAGGCCGUUUCCUCUCCUCCUGUCACUAGUUGCCUGGGAGAAGUGGCUGACCCCCACCUUGCUACAACCUCCUUUCAGGUAGUUGUAGAGAGAAGUAAUGUCUCCCCUGAACUUCCUGUUCUCCAGGCUAAACACUGCCAGCUUCCUCAGCCACUCCUCAUCUGACUUACUCUCUAGACCCUUCACCAGCUCUGUUGCCCUUCCCCGGAUCUGCUCCAUCACCUCAACACCCUUCUAGCAGUGAGGGGCCCAGAACUGGACACAGUACUCAAGGU